GACGUAGGGCGCGAGCGUUGUCCGGAUUUAUUGGGCGUAAAGAGCUCGUAGGCGGCUUGUCGCGUCGACUGUGAAAACCCGCGGCUCAACUGCGGGCCUGCAGCCGAUACGGGCAGGCUAGAGUUCGGUAGGGGAGACUGGAAUUCCUGGUGUAGCGGUGAAAUGCGUAGAUAUCGAGAGGAACACCUGCGGCGAAGGCGGGUUGCUGGGCUGACACUGACGCUGAGGAGCGAAAGCGUGGGGAGCGAACAGG
rnacentral:rRNA from 1 species